GGCGGGGUGGUGUAACGGUAGCACCAUGGCCUUUGGAGCCAUCGGUCCAGGUUCGAGUCCUGGCCUCGCUG
rnacentral:tRNA from 1 species